rnacentral:rRNA from 1 species
UACGUAGGGUGCAAGCGUUAAUCGGAAUUACUGGGCGUAAAGCGUGCGCAGGCGGUUUUGUAAGUUUGACGUGAAAUCCCCGGGCUCAACCUGGGAAUUGCGUUGGAGACUGCAAGGCUGGAGUCUGGCAGAGGGGGGUAGAAUUCCCGGUGUAGUGGUGAAAUGCGUAGAGAUCGGGAGGAAUACCCGUGGCGAAGGCGGUCUGCUGGGAUACACCUGACGCUGAGACACGAAGGCGUGGGGAGCGAACGGG